CUUUCCAAAGAAUCAGGAAACGUUUAAAAUAUUAAUUGAUUAAAUUCAGGCCCCCUAGUUGGAACUACUAUCAGUCGGGCUGCUUUAGUUCAGUAACUUCGGGCACAUCCAACCAAAGUUGGUCCCAUUUAGUUUUGGGGAGAAUCAAGCAUAUGUUUAACUUGUUCCUAUUGAAAUCAAUGGGACUGUAAUGUGCUUAACGUUGACUAAACCUCACCCCAUACUUUUUUGCUUCCUAUAUUUCUGAAAUCUACAUUCUGUCUGUGUCUUUUGUACACUGUACCAUCUCAAAAGAGGGAGGAAGAAAGUAAAUGUACCUUUAUUUGCAGUUGUUACCCUAAAGGGCACUUUUGAGGAGCUGAAGACAGCUGCGAUAGUAAUUAAUGCUUUCCGGUUCUCAUAUUUGUUAGCUCUGACUCCGUACACUAUCUUGGACAAUUUAUAAAUGUAACAAAAUCACCUUUAUGCAUCACAAGAAUAAUUUACUAUGUUUCAGUCCACUGAUCUGAACAUGCCUUGCACAAGAAAGAACCCAAAUUUAAUAUCUUUUAAAAGGCCACCUGAAGAAAUAUUUCAGUGACUAAAAAUAAAAUAAAAUCUAGGAUAACUAUUAACACUGAACUGAGGGAAACAUUGUGGCACAAAAAGCAGAAAAUCUACAAAGUUAAAUGAGGAGAUGUUUUGUCCUAAUUGUAAAUAGGGAGCAAAAUCUUUCUAGUUUAUACCGCAGACAUGUUCAGCCUCCAAACUUAAACUUGCAAACUUUGUGGACAACAAUGCAAGGAACUCUAAGAGAGAUGUUAUACAGAAGUCUUAGCUCUCUUCAAAACCGUAUCAACCAAGUAAAUUUUUUUCUUUUUCUUAAUCAGCAGCCACUUGUAGUCAAACUGUCCUUAGGAUGUAGGUACUGUGGUGUCCCCUCCAGAUGCUGUUGGACUGCAACUCCCAUCAGUCCUGAUCAUUGGCCAUGUGGAGUAGGGCUGGUUGGUUUAGUAGUCUAGCCACAGCUGGGAGGCACCAUGUUGGCUGCUCAUUGGUUACAACACAUCACAAGGCGGAAGCAAAUCUCAGGGUUCUCCUGCCUCCUUUCAUUUGUCAUUUUCCCCCAGUUAAAGCAUCUGUGUUUACAAAUUCUUCCUUGGCAUUGACACUAGAAUGGAGCUUAGAAUCCUAAAAUCAUGGAGCAGUGUGCACAUGCUGACCUAAAACCAUAGGGCUGGGGUUGCCAACAUGGCACAGAAGUGCCCUUAAGAAUAGCCAGUGGCACUCACAAAGCCUCUGAGACCCCUCCCCCACUGACUGUCCUCUUUGUCAUGAGGCGGCAUAGCUUAUUACCUCCCCCACCACCACCACUUGAAAAGCAUACAGAGGAAGGAGGAUGUUGGAAGAGCCUUAGCUCUUUCCUAUUUCUGUUUCAGCUCCAUGUGCUUCUUAAGGCUCAGGUCAACAUGUGAACAAAAAGCCGAGCAACCAAGAAGGCAGGAGGGAAAGGAGAGCCAUCUAGGAGACGGGGGCAGGAAAGGAGAAUAGCCAGAGGGGAUAAAGUGGUGCACCACAGGAGCUGGGAGAGAAAAUGCCACAGCAUGAAAGCAUGGACCCUAGGCAUGGAUACUCAUAUUUUUACACCUUUCAGAAUGUGUCCACAGCUGUGUUCUGUGAUUUGGGUGUGUUUGUUGGCAUCCUGUGUAAAAACCGCGAAGAUCUGUGCCUUCAAUGUUUUUGUAGUGCUGUGUAGUCUACCACUGUAAGCUUUCACUUCUUGACUGUGCUUUUUGUUGGGAAGGGGGUCCACAGGGUAAAUUCAUGGAAAUUCAAAAGGCCCUUUAAAAAUUCUGCUGGAACCAACUUUAACUCUGACCUGGAGAGACUGAGCCAGGGAGGGAAGGAGAGAAGCAGCCACAGAGGAUGUUGCCCACAGAACUCUCUCAAAAUCCCCAAUGUGCCUGUGGACCCAAAAAGCUUGGUGAUGCCUGCCCAUAGGGGCAAUUCUGAGCAUUGCUCCAUUUAACUCACUACUGUCUACAGCAGCUUUCCCAAAACUGGUGCCCUCCAGCUGUUGUUGAACUAUAAUUCACAUCAGUCCUCAUCGUCAGCCAUACUGGCUGGGGCUGAUGGAGAGUGGAGUCCCACAACAUUUGAAGGACACUAGGUGAGGCAAUACUGAACUGUACGGACUGGCAAUCUCCAGGGCUUCAGACAGGAUUCUUUCCCAGCCUUCGUGAAGAUGACUGGAAUGGAACCUGGGACCUUUUGCGUGCACCCAGCAUGCACUACCAGUGAGCUACAUCUCUUCCCUACACUUUAUGAUAGUUUUAUUCCUUAUUUCUCAAGUUGUCUCUGCUGCUAGAAGCUGAUAAUCUGACUCCUCUUUCUCUAAAAGUUAUGUAUGUUGUUUUUCCUCAAAGAAACCAUAUUUAUCCAGUUUCAUAGAUACCUUGAGUAUGUGGAGAGUCUAUAUAGUACCAGAAAUUUAAAGGGUCACAUUAUAUAUACCCUGGCCUGGCUUGCUGCAGCAGCAGCAUUUUGAAAUAAUGACCAUCUACAUACCUGGGGGUAAAUGGCUGCCAUCUUAAAGUCAUUCAUGAAUAAAUUCCAUUGGUCUAAAUGAGAUUUAUUCAUGGAUAAAUGAUAACUCUUGGUACUUUUUUAUUAAAAAAACAAGCAAAAAAACCAACAACCCAUGAAGUGAAUUAAGCAUCUCCAAUCUCUGCAAAUAACAUGGCACCUAAGCACAGCCUUUCCAGUUCUGCUGACCACCUAAAAGGAUUUACAUAGCACCACCAAUUCUUGGGUCUUGCUUCCUACAUUUCAAGGGAUGUUGCUAAACUAUUCAUUUGGGUACCUCCAUAAAUUGCAUUUAUGGCAUCUAGUGGUGGUGGAGGAGGAGCAUAAGAAGUUGCCUCUUCCACUAUCGUCCAGGCAGCUGGAAAAACUUGAACAUUUUCAUUUUAGUGUGGAGAACCUAACUUUGAUUGCCAGCAACGUCCACCAAAACAUUAAGUUCUAGACAGGGAUGCCAACUGAGCAGAACCCCCCCCCAAAAAAACACACAAAAAACUACUCUGGCCUGCUUGUGAACCUGUAACAGUCACCUGGUAUGCAGGAAUGAGUAGAAGUGUGAGAAGAUGAAACAUAUCGCUUAUUAAUUCUCACAUAUUAAGUUGCUACUAAAGGCACAAGUACUAGGGCUGGUACAAAAGCUGGCAACCCUAAUCCCAGAUAAUGAUUUCUACUUAAAAGUAAUGGAAUUAAAAGCUAUGAUUUACACACACACACUCUGUGGGGAUGGCUGGUAGUAGCAGAUAGCAACAGAAAACCUUGCUGAAUUUGUAUACAACUUUUUUAAUGGCAGAGCUCCUGUGCCUGUUGAUUAAUGGAAAUCCAGAAUGGGAAGUUUUCCCUUUGCUGCAGCUGCCUGCUGGGGAUACUUUACCUGCUCAAUUUAUACCUGCCUCUAUCAUUAAUGGGGCUAUUAAAGGAAGGGGUGGGGAGAGCUGACCAGGUAAGCUUCUUAUAAAUUUUCAUAUUUAUUCAGGGCCUGUAGACACCUACGUUUCUCAUGAAGUGUACACCUAAGAAACAGGUUUUGCCCCUCACUGGAGAGCCAGAGUUAAUCUCAGUGGCAAAAUUGGUUUUAUUGUUGAGUAACAGGUAAAAUGGCUCCUAGUUUCCAAAACUUGAAAGUGCUGCAUAACUAUUAAUAGUGCAAUCUUACACAUGUCUGCUAAGAAGUAAGUUGCACUGAGCUCAAUGGGACUUGAUCCCAGUUACACAUGUAUAGGAUUGCAGCCAAAAUUACCAUAUAUAUAUAUAUAUGCCAUUUUAGGCUUACGCUCCAUGCAUUUGACAAAGUGAAAUUUAGCCCAUGAAAGCUCAUGCCAUUAAAAGAAAGUUGGCCUUUAGGAUGCCACAAGAUCCUUCAUUGUUUUUGCAACUCAGUAGAGGACACUUUUGCUGUCACUGCUGGGAAAAGCUGUGCUGGUUGGGUUUUUGCCAGUUAUACAACUGUCAAAUGUACAAAGACUCCAUACUAUGGGAAAACCCUAGUGAUCAAGAUUGCCCUGCUGUCAUAUUGGAAGCAAAUGGAUAAAUUGUGCCUUUUUAAACAAUGAGAAGUAAGGUUGUACUGUUACUUUUGCAUCCAGUCCUAAACACCUUUCACCUGGGAGGGAUUUGGUUUAAAUAAAAAUUCAUUUCAAGGCUAUGCAUUUAGGAUCAUGAUGUGCUCGUGGACAGUAGUGCAAUGAUCCUGAUCUUAAUAAUCAAACUACCUAUUAUAUGCAGGCAGUGUGGUUUCUUACCCCCCACCCCGAACUUUAAAAAGAGAGAAAGAAAAGGGAAAUCAGUAAUCUUAUGGGGAGGGGGUGAAUAGAAAGGGACUAUUUAACCCUUUGCUCUCAUGACAAUUUUCCAUUCAAAAUUGCCCCACUCAAGUGUCUCUCCAACGUUAAUUAGGUAGUCUCCAUUCUUCACUAGGGAAAGAAGUCAGAGAGGUAAUUGCUUGCCCCAAGGCCAGAAUGAAGGAAGUUGAACUUGCACCUCUCAACCUUUCUGCUUUCCUGCUCAGCCCUUUUCUCCUGCUCUUCUUGGCACCUUCCAUUAAUACAUCUCUCUAGUGCCAUCUUUGCCAAUCUGGUGUUCUCCAGAUGUUUUGAACUACAGAUCUGGGCCACCACAGCCUGGGGCAGAUGGAAGCCGAAGCCUGAAUUAUCUGGAGAGCACCAGUUGGGGAAGGGUGCUCUAGGAGGAGAGGCCUUGGAAAUAGUUGGAGAAACAAAGAACCCUUGAAGAAGAAGUGCAUAUGCCCUUGGCAAUGCCGUUUGCCCCUUUAGGAACAGAAACAAGAACAGCCAAGUGCCAGUGUCCAUUCAACUUUCCUUUUUGCUAGAUUAUCAGUUAGGCUGCAGUCUUAUGCCUGCUUUCACUGGGAGUGAUCUACUUGCAUUUAACUGAGUAGGAUUUACUUCUGGCUAGGCAUGUAUACACUUAGAUUGUUAGUUCACAGAGCACCAGUUCAGGGCUGAGCAUUACCAAUCCUGUGUCUGGUUGCUAAGUGACUUGCUGUCUUAGGAGUGUGCAGGAUUGCAGCUAAACAUCUGAAUAAACACACUUUUAGUUGAUGCCUAAGGUGCUUUCUUGACUGUUUGGCCAACGUCCACCACCAGCCUCCCUCUGAGAACAAUCUAGGCCUCCCUAUGUCUCUAAUCAAAUGCAAUUUUUCUCUUCUGAGUCAUGAUGAAAAUAAUUUCUAUUCCUCUUUUUUGGAGGGAGGGGUGUUCUUAAAACCCGUCUUGUUGAAUCAAUGCAUGUAUAUAGUUUGUUUUGGGAUUUUUUAUUUUUAUUUUGAGGCCAUCAGCACUGAAUACCCUUUUCUGAAGGACAGCUCUGAUUAAAAUCAAUCUUCUACUCUUAACAUUUCAAUAUAUGCAAUUAAUGAAUUAAUGUUUUAAUUGCACUGAUGAAUGUUCUUGGCCAUGUUUAUAAAAUAUUCUUUCUCCUGGUUGACGUUUAUUCCAAUAUUAUAUCAUGCUCAUGUGUUGUUGUUUUUUUAAAAAAAGUUUAAAACAAUCAUGUGACUUAGAGAACUGCAGAUGGCUAAAGUCAACCUUCAUAGUGUAACCCUUUGUGUGCCAGCGUGUCUAUCACCACUCUAUUAAGCUCAUUUAUGUGACAGUAAAUCACGUUGCAUUCAGUGGGUUGCGCGUUCCAGCAAUGAGUUUUAGGAAGCAAGGUUUGAAGCUGAAAUUAUAAGACAAAUAGAUAUACCGAAUAUAGGAGUGUGAAAUCUACAGUCUCUCCUUUCUAUGCCAAAAUCGAGUCCUUUAUUUAAAUCAAAGCAAAACCAACAUCUACUCUUCUUGAAUAGUCUUUCCAUAAAAAUGAAAAAAUGUCAUCGGUUUUAGCGACUCUCAGAAAAGAAGGGGGGGGCAAACGCGGAGAGGCAUUCAAUGAUGAGUUUGUAUAUAUUUAUUUAUGCUUAAUUUAACGGGAUUGUGUAAAUAUGGCGAGCAAGUAGUUUUGGGGUUAUUUAUCUGUGACUAUACCUCUGUGAAUGGGUGGGGAAUUUAAACCAAGAAGAAGAAAAACGAUCAAAAAGACAAAAAAAAUUACAAACGCUUGACUCUAGAUAGUACCCAAUCUGAUCUUUUUUUCUGUUCUUUAUAGACAAGCUGUUAUGGUAAUGGGUAGAAAUUGGUUUCUUGUCCAGUGAUGACCUGAUUUACAUAAAUAAUAAUACGAAUUU